rnacentral:snoRNA from 13 species
CCUUCGCUGAUGAGUGACUCUUUGACUUUCGUUCUUCUGAGUCUGCUGAAGCCAUUUGUCUAUUCUGAGAAGG